UGGGGAAUUUUGGACAAUGGGCGAAAGCCUGAUCCAGCAAUGCCGCGUGUGUGAAGAAGGCCUUCGGGUUGUAAAGCACUUUUGUCCGGAAAGAAAUGGCUCUGGUUAAUACCUGGGGUCGAUGACGGUACCGGAAGAAUAAGGACCGGCUAACUACGUGCCAGCAGCCGCGGUAAUACGUAGGGUCCAAGCGUUAAUCGGAAUUACUGGGCGUAAAGCGUGCGCAGGCGGUUGUGCAAGACCGAUGUGAAAACCCCGAGCUUAACUUGGGAAUUGCAUUGGUGACUGCACGGCUAGAGUGUGUCAGAGGGGGGUAGAAUUCCACGUGUAGCAGUGAAAUGCGUAGAGAUGUGGAGGAAUACCGGUGGCGAAGGCAGCCCCCUGGGAGUACACUGACGCUCAUGCACGAAAGCGUGGGGAGCAAACAGG
rnacentral:rRNA from 1 species